GGAUGGUCUCGAUCUCCUGACCUCUUGAUCCGCCCGCCUUGGCCUCCCAAAGUGCUGGGAUUACAGGUGGGAGCCACCGCGUCCAGCCUAAGCCUUUUCAAUCAAUAGCUCAAUGCCCUCUCGUGUCAAUAUGCAGAACAAGGAACUGAAUCUAUACUAGACUUUAUUACAGCACAGUGUCCAUUAUCUUUACUUUCUCCCACUAUAAUACCCCAGUCUUGCCCGUAAAGAUGAGAAGGGAAGUUUGACUUUGAUGAGCACCAAAGUUACCAAUUUUACAAAAUCUAAUAGCCAUAAUUCUUGUAGUUCCUCACCACCCUACAGUUCCCACUAUUUUUACCCUAGUUCCUGUGUCUGCAGCCUGGUUUGCAUGAAUGGACCUCUGCUCAGCUGUCUUUUCCAUUCCUUUGCGUCCUGAUUCACAGUUCCUCUUUGCACUUCUGUUUAGAGGAGGACAGUGGGUAUGGCCUGCACACCUCAGGAAUAUUGCUGGUACCCCAUCCAUAUUUUCCCAAGUCCUUAAGGCCUACUCAGACUUUGUAACAUUUAUCCAAGGCUCUACUCGUGUUCAGUAUACUGAUGAUGCCUUUGUAGCCAAACUAAGCAAGGUGGUCUUAUGGAUUUCCUCAUUCUCCUAGAGACACUAGCUGAAUUAAGCCAUAAAGUCUCCCAAUCUAAAUUUCAGUGGGUGUAGAUAGCUAUUACUUAGGAUGCGAGGUAUCUCAGGGCACCCAAAGCUCACCCAGAACACCUUGAAUCAAUUUUAUCCAUCGCUCUCCGCAAAAUAAAAGCAGGCGUGAGCCACUGCACCUUGCCUCUUUAUGCACUCUUAACCUGUCUCUUCUCAUUCCUUCGUCACCACUGGACUUUGGGUACCCUACGGGUGAUGUUAAGGCUGGUCCCCAACAAUUGUUAUUUGUGGAAACUUUCCAGUACCCACGUAUAGCCAGCAGCCCCUUUAAGGGAACAUAACUCUCCCUGGCUGGCCAACAAAUAGCCCGGAGCCAAGCAGUCAUCAGCUGUCGAGUCUGCCAGGGAGCGUUGUCCUUCACGGAAAGCAUCUAAAGCAUUAGCUCUCUGCUGCGUGUGGUUAGAGUGUGCUGAACGUUUUCCGAUGGCUUCAUGGUUUGAGUUGACAGGAUGACAUCAUGUGUGCCUAAGGCAGUGCCCGUGGUGGCCCAAAAAGUAUGUGCAAUGAGCAGAAAAUUAGCACACUUGUCUCAAGAGGAGGUUUGGGAGUGGGUGUGAGAUGGAGCAGGGACUCCCUCUUCACGGCCUGUGGAUCUCCCAGGCAUAGAAAUAAAGAACAAUCUUGCUUUUCUUCAAGGUAAAUUUCAGUCACCUAGUUAGCCCCAAGAAGUAAAUAUGCAACUUGAUAAGCAAGAAGGUAACGGUAGCCUAAAACAAUAGCCAAGGAAGCUAGAAGCAUCGGAUGUGUAGUUCUCCUGUAGAAACUAAAGAUGGUGGCCGGGCGCGGCGGCUCACGCCUGUAAUCCCAGCGCUUUGGGAGGCUGAGGCGGGCGGAUCACGAGGUCAGGAGAUCGAGACCAUCCUGGCUAACACGGUGAAACCCUGUCUCUAUUAAAAACACACAAAAAAUUAGCCGGGCAUGGUGGCAGGCGCCUGUAGUCCCAGCUAUUCGGGAGGCUAAGGCAGGAGAAUGGCGUGAACCCUGGAGGCAGAACUUGCAGUGAGCCCAGAUCGUGCCACUGCACUCCAGCCUGGGCAACAGAGCGUGACUCUGUCUCAAAAAAAAAAAAAAAAAAAAAAAGAAAGAAAAAGAAAAAGAAAGAAAGAAGCAUGUGUUAUGGGUUGUACUCUAAGGUGCCAGUAAGUCUGAUGAUCAGGACAAAGUAGGGGGCCCUAAAGGCUGGGGUCGAGCCUAAGUAAAGCUGCACACAGUGGAGAAGACCCGUUUAGAAGACCAUGUGUGGUCUGUAAUGUCAGCAAGGUUUGUUUGAGCCAUCAGUUCUAGGAGGCCUCUAGCCCGAGAGUAUAAGAGAGCAGAAAGUUGCUUUGAACGCCUUGUUCAAGAGCCCAGCGUUGGCCAGGCAUGGUGGCUCAUGCCUGUAAUCCCAGCACUUUGGGAGGCUGAGACAGCUGGAUUACUUGAGGUCAGGAGUUCAAGUGCAGCC
rnacentral:lncRNA from 1 species